AUUUGAAAAAAGCCCAUUUGUGUAGUUGUAUACUGUACGUGAGCUGUUUAUAGGAAAUAAUAUGAAAUACGAGAAUCAAGUCUUUUCGAAGUUUUCGGAAGACUACAGGAAGACCUACCAUGGCGGGACAACAAGGAAGGUUCAUCCAAAGAGAAGUUGUCUGCUUCUUAUGUGGGAACUCCGGUCAUUUCGCUUCCGGUUGCGCAGCAAGGUUACAGCCAUCACUUGCGCAGAACGCAACCUUUACAGGACCCAUGGGAAGUAACUUCUCGCGACUGCCGUCAGGUCCAGUCACCUCAUCAGAGACCACAACGAACAAGCCCCAAUCAGCAGAUAAGCAAUGCCAGUGAUUUUCAAUGUUUGUUUAAUACUGAGAGGUGGAAUGAUGUUAGAAGACAUUCGAAAUUCGUUCAACCAGACCUGUUCUCAGCAGUUAAAGAAGCAUGUAUACGUGGGAAGGAACCAUCCACAAAACGGAAUUAUUCUCUCGCCUUCAAGAAUUUUAGUAAGUGGUGCGAAAAAAUGAAACUUUCAAAUUUACCUCUUCUCCUACAACCGUAGCGCUUUAUUUAGUGUCUACUAUUCAAGGCGAACAUUUGUGUAGUAAAUCUAAACUAAAUUCUAUUUUUUAUGCUAUUAAUUGGGCGCAUAAUUUGUCGUUUUCAUUAAAUCCUUGUACCGAUGAGUGGCUAAAAUUAUGUUUAAACGGUUGCAUAAGAAUUGCUUUAAAGCCUAUUAGCAAGAAGGAGCCUAUUACCACAGAUAUUUUAAAACAGUUUAUCACGCACUUUGCUGCUGAGAACAGUUCCUUGUUAGACUUGAGAUUAACGUGUUUAUUUGUUUUGACAUUCGCAGGAUUUUUUCGUAUUAGUGAAUCUUUGAAUAUCAAAAGAUCAGACAUUCAAUUCUUUGACACGCAUUGUGAAAUCUUCGUAGAAAAAUCAAAGACUGAUGUUUUAAGGGACGGAAACACUGUUGUUAUUGCUUGUACGGGACAUUUCUCCAGUCCCGUUUUAAUUCUUGAGAGGUACUUGUUGGAAGCUGAAAUAAAACCAGAAUCAAAAUAAUUCAUAUUUAGACAAGUGCACUUUUGUAAAACUAAACAUAAAUACAUUUUGCGUAAAAAAUCUACCAAUCCACUUUCUUACUCCUCUGUACGUGACUUGUUUAAAGACAGAAUUGCAAAGUUAGGUCUUGAUCCUUCUAGGUAUAGUUUACAUAGCUUUCGUUCUGGUGUUGCUAGUGUUACAGCUAACAACAAUACCUCAGAGAGAUUGUGGCAGAGACAUGGGAGAUGGAAAUCUGUUUCAGCUAGGGAUGGAUAUGUAAAAGACACUCUUAAAGACCGUCUCUCAGUCUCUUUGAAUUUAGACUUAUAAACAUGUACUUAUCUUGUGUGUGAUAAGUGAUUGCUAUGUAGAAUUAACAUUGUAUUUGUAUUAGAGAGAAUGUGUUUUGAAAAUAGAUCAAUGAUAUUUUCAAAUAAUUAAUAUUUCCAUUAUUUCUAUUAGAAUAUAAUGAACUAAAAGCUAUUUCUUGUUUCAUGAUUCAUUUGAUUCGACGUAAUAGAUUCAGUUUCAUAGCUUUUUGUGCGUGUUCGCAAGAGGCAGUUGUUACAUGACGACUAAAUGUUGUCAUUACUUAUGCUCUGCAAGUAACGGAAUAACACUUUGUAUGUGCUCUGGCGGAAUGUCACCUAUUUAUUUUUCUUUUUUUUGCUGUGCUAGUGGCGGAAUGCCACAUGGCGGCGGAAUGUUACCACUUUGUGUUCUGCAUGUGUCUGAAUGCUACCUUUAAUUUAUGUGCUCUGCGAGUGGCGGAAUGCCACGUGGUGAUGGAAUGUCACCGUUGUUUUGUGCUCUGCAAUUGGCGGAAUGCUACCCAUUUUUUAUGUGCUCUGCAGUGGCGGAAUGCCACGUGGUAAUGGAAUGUCACCAUUUUUUGUGCUCUGCAAGUGGCGGAAUGCUAUUCAUUUUGCAUGUGCUCUGCAAGUGGCGGAAUGCCACGUGGUGAUGGAAUGUCACCAAUUUGUGCUCUGCAAGUGGCGGAAUGCUACUUAUUUUUUAUGUGCUCUGCAAGUGGCUGAAUGCCACGUGGUGACGGAAUGUCACCAAAUGGUGCUCUGCAAGUGGCGGAAUGCCACGUGGUGACGGAAUGUCAUCACUUCUUGUGUGCUCUGCAAGUGGUGGAUGGUCACAGCUGCUUUGUGCCCAGCAAUUAGUGGUACGUUUUUCAGUAUACAUAACAAUUUUCAUCAUAUGCAUUGAAAAAUAUUUAACCAACAGUACAAUUUAGUGUACAAUAUUAAAGAGGUGCCUUUUUUAAAUCAUGUAAUUAUUCAUAUUCUGCAAAUAGAAUGAUUCUUUAUUUGUUAUAGAUAAAAUUAAAAGCAUUUAAGAUGAUUCUUUGAUCUAAUAUCUCGAGUUUUUAAUAGUUUCUGAUUCAACCGUUUUUUUAUUUGUAAUUUUUGACAAUUGAUUUUUUGAACUUGUAUACGGCAUCAUUUCAUUGUCAAUAUAUUAAAAUGCUUAGUCGAUCAUUUUGUUUCAAUGGUGUUUCACAGUCUAUUUCAGACGAAACUAAUUUCAUAAACAGUAAAGAUACAGCGUUUGUGCUGGAAGUCUUCAUUUUCUGUCGAUUGAAGUCUAUAUGGGAACAAAAUUAUCAUCUAGACGAGGUUGAUACUUAAAGGAGACAACAUGGAAUGGUUAUGAUAAUUGUAUCCGUAUAAGUAUAUUUUAAAUAUAAAUUUUAUUACUGUCUUUGUUUGCUCGAUAUUUGCUGCCAAAUAUAUACCUUAAACCUAUUCAUGUUUUGGUUUUAUGUUAUUAGUUAAUUGAGAUAAGAGAAUAAUUAAUUUACUCACAGCUUUAGCGUGAGUAAAUGUAAUUAUUAUCGCUUCGAAAUUAACUAUCCUUCAUUAGUUUUAUACUUCAUUGGUUUCUAUUGUAUAUGUUUUGGCGGGUUUUUGCACGAACAUUUCGUGCAAUUCUGCCAGUAUAUAUAGGUUUUUUUCGCGCUUUAUCUCCACUCGAGGUUAAAAUUUGGCAGCAAACAUACG